rnacentral:rRNA from 18 species
GACCUCAGAUCAGGCAAGGCUACCCGCUGAAUUUAAGCAUAUCA